UUAUUGGGCGUAAAGCGAGCGCAGGCGGUUUUUUAAGUCUGAUGUGAAAGCCUUCGGCUCAACCGAAGAAGUGCAUCGGAAACUGGGAAACUUGAGUGCAGAAGAGGACAGUGGAACUCCAUGUGUAGCGGUGAAAUGCGUAGAUAUAUGGAAGAACACCAGUGGCGAAGGCGGCUGUCUGGUCUGUAACUGACGCUGAGGCUCGAAAGUAUGGGUAGCAAACAGGAUUAGAUACCCUGGUAGUCCAUACCGUAAACGAUGAAUGCUAAGUGUUGGAGGGUUUCCGCCCUUCAGUGCUGCAGCUAACGCAUUAAGCAUUCCGCCUGGGGAGUACGGCCGCAAGGCUGAAACUCAAAGGAAUUGACGGGGGCCCGCACAAGCGGUGGAGCAUGUGGUUUAAUUCGAAGCUACGCGAAGAACCUUACCAGGUCUUGACAUACUAUGCAAAUCUAAGAGAUUAGACGUUCCCUUCGGGGACAUGGAUACAGGUGGUGCAUGGUUGUCGUCAGCUCGUGUCGUGAGAUGUUGGGUUAAGUCCCGCAACGAGCGCAACCCUUAUUAUCAGUUGCCAGCAUUAAGUUGGGCACUCUGGUGAGACUGCCGGUGACAAACCGGAGGAAGGUGGGGAUGACGUCAAAUCAUCAUGCCCCUUAUGACCUGGGCUACACACGUGCUACAAUGGAUGGUACAACGAGUUGCGAACUCGCGAGAGUAAGCUAAUCUCUUAAAGCCAUUCUCAGUUCGGAUUGUAGGCUGCAACUCGCCUACAUGAAGUCGGAAUCGCUAGUAAUCGCGGAUCAGCAUGCCGCGGUGAAUACGUUCCCGGGCCUUGUACACACCGCCCGUCACACCAUGAGAGUUUGUAACACCCAAAGUCGGUGGGGU
rnacentral:rRNA from 2 species